rnacentral:lncRNA from 1 species
UUUUUAAAGUUAGCAAAUAUGAUGAACAAAUUGUGAAAAAUUGUCAUUAAAGGACAAUAACCCCUUAAGGGGUCAAUUGACAAUUUUGGUCAUAUUGACUUAUUUGUAGAUCUUACUUUGCUGAUCAUUUUUGCUGUUUACAGUUUAUCUUUAUCUAUAAUAAUAUUCAAGAUAAUGACCAAAAACUGCAAAAUUUCCUUAACAUUACCAAUUAAGUGGCAGCAACCCAACAAUGGUUUGUUUGAUUGAUCUGAAAAUUUCAGGGCUGAUAGAUCUUGACCUAAUGAACAUUUUUAC